GGAUGGAACGCAGGGCCUGGUGCAUGCUGGGCAAACACCUGCUGCUCAUUCUGGGCCCACAGUGAGGGUACAUUUCGGGGCUGCCUUCAUGGGCUGGGAUCUAGAUGGCAAAUGCAUGAUCUAUGCCACCUCUGGGCCUGGCCAAGGGAACCAAGCUGUCCCCUUUGCCUCUGCUCUCCCACUGGCCAGAGGAACACAGAGCAGCAGAGGGAUCCCAGAGGGCCCUGAACGAAGGCAAGCACUGAGCCGGCUCCCUGAGACUGCCUCCCGGUGGGCCACUGUCCACGCCCGACAGCAGUGAUGGAUAAGCUGAGGGCAGGGGGCCAGGUGGUAAGAGUCACCUCGACAGACGCUGUAUGGCCAGGUCCUGCCUCCAGGCUGGGGACCAAGCUCACAGGCCUCUGGGGGACACAUCAGACUCAAGCCACAGCGCCAUUCUGUGACCAUCGCUCUAGCAGACCCGUGGAAGAAGACAGAUGUUGAGCUUCCUGCGUUCCCAGGGCUCUUGUUUCCUGGGGCUCUCGUGGGAACCAAAUGUCCACUUUGGGAAACUUCUGCUGGCCACUGAUGGUCCUCCACCCCCCUCCCCUCCGCCUCAGGGGAGUGGGGUGGGGCAGAAUUUAGGGGCAGGUGACCUGGGUUGUACCACACAUGGGAGUUGGGGGCAGAAGGGCCUUAGUUACAGGGAACUCCAAGGCCCCAGGAGCUUCUGAGGGGUCACUGUUCACGUGGGAAAGAGAAUCAUGACAGACCCGCCCCUCCUCCAUGCCCAGGGGAGGAGGACAUUGCCUUGCUCACCUGGUUUCCAAGAGAACUAAGAAUGUGAGGUACUUGACACGGAGCUGGAGCCACUGGCCCUGACUGUUGUUAUUAGGCGGCCAUAUAACAGCUGUCUUCUAAUGCAAAAACAUAAACCCAGCCUUGGGAUUCCAUCCA